AAAUAUUUAAUACUCCUAUGAAGAAUUUAAAUAUCACCUUCGUUUAAAAAUCCUGUGAUUACCGAGUACUCGUAGAAUGUGUAUGUAUGGAUAGUUACCUACGUAGUUAGGUGUAUAAAAGGUAUUAUUCAUGCCGUGGCGCGUGGUAGUUAAUAAAAAUGAAUACUUAUUUUUUUCUCCAAUUAAAAUAAUCCAGUAUUCAUUUUAAUUUCCUCUAAUGUCUUUCAUAGCUGUCCACGUCCUUUCUAAUUUAGAAAACUUAAUUAUAGACCAAGCAAAUAGAAAUUGAACCAGUUAUUGCAUUUUUAUAUCACUUUAUGAAUUUAUAAUCAAGUAAAUGCUAUUGUGUUCACAAAGUGGUCUGCCUUGCGUGCUCUUACUAACAAUAAUAUUUUAAACCUUAAUUAAAGGCUGGUCGUAGUAGGUACCUUUACCUGUAAAUAGGGUAGGGCACCCGUAUCAAGUUCCCUCGUGUAAGUAGGCUCUUAUUUAUUCGCGACUUUAGUUCAUUUUCAUUAUUUGACAAUGGCUUCGCUUCCGCUUCGCUGUCAAAUACUUUAAGUGUAAACGUAAGCGGAUCUGAAAUCAGCGUCGGAUCGGACUCCGCGCUUACGGUUCGCUGACCGCAGGUUUGAUUAGUUUGAGAGCCGUAAGCUCGCGGACGACGAACCGUAUGCUUAUUGACGACCACGCAUGCACCGCCGCGGUUCGUGUGCUUGUCCCAAGCCGAGACGAUUAAGUUUUACUUACAGGGAUGCCAUGAAAAAUUAAACACUACUCGUAUUGCCAACGUAGGUUUUGGUAUUUUAUUCGUGGUUUAUAAUAUUUUAUACUUUCUGAAAACUGAAUAUCGUUGCCUUAAACUGAAAACCUCGGGGAUGCAUCAUGCAGUUAACUAUGGUCAUAAAAGCGGGUUUUUAAAUUUUACGCUAAAGAGGUUUUCACUCUUAGGCAUCGAUAUAAUGCGAAAAGCGGAAUAUUUGGUACAUUUACCCUAUGAAGUGUGAUCAAAGACAACGUCAGUGCCUCGCUGCGUAAUUCGCACCCUUCGGGAAAGUAAACACCUGUUUAAUGCACACGCAGCACUGAUCGGAACCGCUUAUCUACGGUGUACCUACUAAUACGAGUAGGUACCUACCUACGCCAUAUAGGUGGUACAGUAAUAGGUACCUAUUGACAGCCCAAAUACUCGCACAUUUUUGGAAAUAAAUGCUCCAAUCACGAUAUUAAUUUAACAGAGUAUUUCCAGCAUGCUCGAUUUGCUUUAAAUAAGCUCAUACUACAUAUUUUCAAUUUUGAUUAGAUCUGGACUAGGAUAAUAAAAAUCUUACAACCUACGUUAAAUCAAUAAUAAAUUCAAUAAAUUAUUUAUUGCGAACGGAUAAAAGGUACAAUAAGUUCUGUUUUUCUUACCAUUCUAUACACUGACUAGAUUAAGUACAAUCCUGUGCUAUAAUGUAAAUUAAGUAGUUAAACUAUGGUAAAAAUUAUAAUACCUACUUAAUCAUGAAGAAAGUUAGAAGUAACAUUACAGUUUUAAAUAUCAGCAAAAGAAAUAACAUCUUGGUUUAAUAAGAUUUUAUAUUUUUACAAAGGUAAGUAAUAAAAUUGUUUAUCGGUUACAUACCAAUUUUUAGCAACGACAUACCUAGUUCUCAGUGAAAAUCUAUAAUAAAAUGAAUCUCAAAAUGCUAAAUGUGUUGGUAAGCGUUUUAGGUUUUUACGGCGAGAAAAUUUCGAAUAAUUUCCGGGAAAAUCCUAAAAGCAGCCCAUUUUUCACGCGGGCAAAAAGGAUAAAAAUAUGACGUAAAUACAUAGGUCCAAUAAGUACCUAUAUCUAAAAUUGAUUGUUACAGACUGAAGCAUACCUUUACUACAAUCCUAUCACCCCGCUUGUAACACUAUGUAAUUGACUUAUUUAAAAUUCAAGUAAUUGCUAACAUCCUCAAACAAAAUAAUUUAAUUUAUAAUUACCUAUUGUAUGUACAAUAAGAAAAUGAGUUAGUACUUACUUAGGCUGGGUACCAUCUUACUUUCAUUUUUACAAACCUCAAAAGUCUGUCAAAAUCCAUACAAAAAACACCAGUUAACGUUAUAGUUACCUCAAAGUUAGGUGGUGCAACUCAGCCUUAAUGUCGUCACUCGGGUUUUAAGAAUAGGUAAUAUCGUACGUCUGAUAACCCAUUUUUCAAGUAGGUAAUUACUGCAUUUGAUCGAUGCAAUAUUGACGUCCGUUGAGGUUGAGGGUAAUAUGAUGUCAAUCAUGCUUGUCACCAGCACGUCACUGUAUGUAUUAAUUAAGUUGGUCGGCUUUCAACUACCUAUAAAUUAACCCAUAAUAUCUAAGGUAACACUUUACAUUUACCUGAUUAUUCUAAUUCCAAUUUAAAACCUGCUAUAUUAUGAACAUUUUUAAUAGUUAAAAUAAUUACUACUAAUACUGGAUUUUUGAACAUCUUAAGCCUACCUAAGUACUCUAUUUUUCCUUGGUGUCUUUAGUUCAACGUCAAAAAUGUAUUCUAUUCUAAGCUAAUUAAGUUAAUUGUUAAAUAAUACUUUUACUGCUGUCGCCAGUCACAUAAUAAUUAUUUUCAAUAUUAA